rnacentral:rRNA from 1 species
GACGAACGCUGGCGGCGGGCUUAACACAUGCAAGUCGAACGGAAAGGCCCUGCUUUUGUGGGGUGCUCGAGUGGCGAACGGGUGAGUAACACGUGAGUAACCUGCCCUUGACUUUGGGAUAACUUCAGGAAACUGGGGCUAAUACCGGAUAGGAGCUCCUGCUGCAUGGUGGGGGUUGGAAAGUUUCGGCGGUUGGGGAUGGACUCGCGGCUUAUCAGCUUGUUGGUGGGGUAGUGGCUUACCAAGGCUUUGACGGGUAGCCGGCCUGAGAGGGUGACCGGCGACAUUGGGACUGAGAUACGGACCAGACUGCUACGGGAGGCAGCAGUGGGGAAUAUUGCACAAUGGGCGGAAGCCUGAUGCAACAACGCCGCGUGCGGGAUGACGGCCUUCGGGUUGUAAACCGCUUUCGCCUGAGACGAAGCGUGAGUGACGGUAAUGGGUAAAGAAGCACCGGCUAACUACGUG